rnacentral:lncRNA from 1 species
CUGACUUAUUUAUUAACCAUCAAAGUAAUCCCCAACAUCAGCUCUAAUCUAGGCAUCUACCGUAGUCCACUGCUCAACAAUGCAUGACGCACUGUCCUCACUCCUUAUCUCGAUCGCUGUAUUUGAUGAUGUCCGCAAAAUGCCCCCACAUAAAUGCCCCCACAUGAUCCUAUCAAAUCAAGCCAUUAAAGCAGGUGACUGCAGGAGAGGGUCAUGUCAACCGCCAUGCCCUAUCCAAGUCGUAGCUAUUAAGAAAAAUAGUUAGCCAUAUAUAGAAUGAGAUCGCAUCAACC